UACAGAGGUCUCAAGCGUUGUUCGGAUUCAUUGGGCGUAAAGCGUGUGCAGGUGGUUUGGAAAGUUAGAUGUGAAAUCCUUGGGCUUAACCCAAGAAGUGCAUUUAAAACUCCCAAACUUGAGUAAGGAAGAGGGUCGUGGAAUUCCAGGUGUAGUGGUGAAAUACGUAGAUAUCGGGAGGAACACCAGUGGCGAAGGCGGCGAUCUGGGUAGAUACUGACGCUGAGGAGCGAAAGCGUGGGGAGCGAACAGG
rnacentral:rRNA from 1 species